UGACCGUUGGAGUUCACCCCUCUGUAAACCUCCUCCUUUCCUCGCUCAUUGAGAGGGUAGAGAGAAGAUGGGAGAGCGAUAUGGCUGAGACAAGAGCGAAUCUCGGUGAUGCGGCGCCCGAGAUGGAGGUCGACGACGACAUGCCGAACCUUCUCUCCUUCAACAUCCACGGCGGCUUCGAAUUUGUCCUCGCUACUGUGCUUACAUGAUGACAUUUCAUACGAAACGAUUGAAGAUGAUCCCGACACAAGAAAAGAUAUGUCGAGGAACAACGCUGAUGAAGAUGAUCUAAGCACAAGAAAAGACCUUUUCUGUUGAAGAUGAUCGUGACACGAGUCCAAGGACAUUUGGAGCUCUCUGUUGUAGAGACUAGUCUUGCCUAUUGUAAAUUACUAAUGUAAUGACUAUUUU